GCAUGUGUUUCUCUAAAUAGCAAGUGAAACAUACCAAUUGUCGAGAAGUAGUAUAAAACCAUAUAUGGUUUUAUAUAGAAAUGGCACUAUAGUGCCAUUUCUCCACAACAAGAGAAUUGCAAAAAUCUCCAAAAAAACUAAUUCUUGGAUCGUAAUUUCUACCAUCUGCAUGUAAAUGGGAAAUUAAAAGCUCCACGUCGUCGGCUGAACGAACAAUCCGGUAGAGUUUCCUGUUGGACACGCGGCGCGCCCUGUCGUUUGUAUAUACCACUCCUGAAAUGUUAUUGAAGGACGAUAGUUGGGGCGUUUACAUUAGAUAUUGCCGGACUAAACUUUUGUUUCCAUUGUCCGUUUCCAUGUGCGUGUUUCCCGAUAAACAAUCUCGAUUGACGUGACAUCUUCAUUAAAGCACCAUAUCCCAUACGACUUGGAUGUGGCAUGCUACAGGCACAUUCCCCAGGUUCCUAUUACGUCAGUGUGGUCAGUUGGAGACAGCUUCUUUGCAAAUGCCGUCCUCAAUAUUUAG